rnacentral:rRNA from 1 species
UGCGGCUGGAUCACCUCCUUUU